UACGUAGGGUCCGAGCGUUGUCCGGAAUUAUUGGGCGUAAAGGGCUCGUAGGCGGUCCGUCACGUCGGGAGUGAAAACUCAGGGCUCAACCCUGAGCGUGCUUCCGAUACGGGCGGACUAGAGGUAUGCAGGGGAGAACGGAAUUCCUGGUGUAGCGGUGGAAUGCGCAGAGUAUCAGGAGGAACACCGGUGGCGAAGGCGGUUCUCUGGGCAUUACCUGACGCUGAGGAGCGAAAGCAUGGGGAGCGAACAGG
rnacentral:rRNA from 1 species